UACGGGGGGGGUAAGCGUUGUUCGGAAUUACUGGGCGUAAAGGGCUCGUAGGCGGCUUUCUAAGUCGGGGGUGAAAUCCUGGAGCUCAACUCCAGAACUGCCUUCGAUACUGGAAAGCUCGAGUCCGGGAGAGGUGAGUGGAACUGCGAGUGUAGAGGUGAAAUUCGUAGAUAUUCGCAAGAACACCAGUGGCGAAGGCGGCUCACUGGCCCGGUACUGACGCUGAGGUGCGAAAGCGUGGGGAGCAAACAGG
rnacentral:rRNA from 1 species